AUAAUAAAACAAAUAAUAAUUUCAACCAAAACAUAAAAUUCAGUUAUGAAUGCCACAAAAAACAAAGAAUCCCAUAUUUAGAUAUAACUGUGAUAAGAUCCAACAUAAUGUCAAUUUCCAAAAAGAUGAAAAAGCUUGUAAUAAAAAAUCUUUAAUUUCAAAUCCUUUUACCCAAGACUGCAGAAAUGAGAUGCAAAGAUACACCCUUUUGCCCUUUAUACAUAAAGAAAAAACUUUCAAAUGGAAUAUAAUAAAAUUUUGUGCAAAACAAUAAACUAAUAACAGCAAAAAUUAUAAAUUAAAUAUUUAAAAAUGAAAAUGGUAUUAAAUCAUUACUCAAUAAGAAUUGUUAAUAAAUGAGAAGAUAAUUACCAUAUGUACUGG
rnacentral:lncRNA from 1 species